GUAAAAUAUUAACCAGCCGUACAGCACCUACAGAUGGCAAUUUCAUCCUGCUCCAAGCGGGCCUAGCCCAAGGAACCCAGUCCUACUAAUGGUAGCAGGGCGAGGAUGGAUUUAAGCCACCCAUCCAUAUUUUGCCCCCAACUUCAAAAAUAUAGUUUUAUAUAAUAAUUUUGAGUUGAGUAAAUAUGUGGAACCUUACUUAUCUUUUAAGAUAUAUCAUUAUAACUCAAUAUUAUUCCUUUUGUUCUCAAACAAUAACUUAACCAUAUAACACUCAAUUUAUGAUAACAUAUGAAUAUAUGACUUAGUUAUUUACAUAAAUUUAUAAAUCACAUAAAAUUAUAACUAUGAUGAAGAACAACCAUGACAGAUUGCUAUGAAUGAUCAAAGACAUCAGAACUUAGAAAAUCAACAUCUAGACACAACAACAACGA
rnacentral:misc_RNA from 1 species